GGAUUAGAUACCCUGGUAGUCUACGCCGUAAACGAUGGUCACUAGCUGUCCGAGCUAAUUGAGGCUUGGGUGGUUAAGCGAAAGUGAUAAGUGACCCACCUGGGGAGUACGUUCGCAAGAAUGAAACUCAAAGGAAUUGACGGGGGCCCGCACAAGCGGUGGAGCAUGUGGUUUAAUUCGAUGAUACGCGAGGAACCUUACCAGGGCUUAAAUGUAGGGCGACAAUCUUGGAAACAAGACCUUCUUCGGACGACUUGCAAGGUGCUGCAUGGUUGUCGUCAGCUCGUGUUG
rnacentral:rRNA from 1 species